UACGUAGGGCGCAAGCGUUAUCCGGACUUAUUGGGCGUAAAGAGCUCGUAGGCGGUUUGUCGCGUCUGCCGUGAAAGUCCGGGGCUCAACUCCGGAUCUGCGGUGGGUACGGGCAGACUAGAGUGAUGUAGGGGAGACUGGAAUUCCUGGUGUAGCGGUGAAAUGCGCAGAUAUCAGGAGGAACACCGAUGGCGAAGGCAGCCCCCUGGGCUAAGACUGACGCUGAGGCACGAAAGCGUGGGGAGCAAACAGG
rnacentral:rRNA from 1 species